rnacentral:rRNA from 1 species
AGAGAGAGACAUGCGCGCAUAUCAAUAAGCGGAGGAAAAGAAACUAACAAGGAUUCCCUUAGUAACGGCGAGUGAAGCGGGAAGAGCUCAAAUUUGAAAUCUUCAAGGUUUUACCUUGACGAAUUGUAGUUUAAAGUAGUGUUUUCUGCUGAAGUUUUGGUAAAAGUUCUUUGGAAUAGGACAUCAUAGAGGGUGAGAAUCCCGUAUUUGACCAUUAUUUUCAGCUUUGUGAUACACUUUCAAAGAGUCGGAUUGUUUGGGAAUGCAGUCCAAAAUGGGUGGUAAAUUUCAUCUAAAGCUAAAUAUUGGCGAGAGACCGAUAGCGAACAAGUACCGUGAGGGAAAGAUGAAAAGAACUUUGAAAAGAGAGUUAAACAGUACGUGAAAUUGUCAAAAGGGAAGCGUUUGACACCAGUGUUGUUUUCUCGAAAAUCAAUUAAAAAAUGGCUCGGAUUUUGUAGUUGCUUAUGACCUUUAUAAGCUCACUGUACAUUUUUCGUGUCUUUUUUUAAUGCACUUUUCGUUUAACAAGUCAACAUCAAGUUUCUUUUGUUGUAAAAGGGUCAUUGGAAGGUGGCUUUCUUUUCGGAGAAAGUGUUUAUAGCCUUUGGCCUCUGCAAUCGGAGAGACUGAGGUCUGCAGCGUAGACUCUUCGGGGUUAGAUACAUUUGUGCUAAGUUAUAGCCUUUUCAUAGACAACUUGUUGACUAUGAUUAGUCAUUGUAGCUUACUCGCUUAUGCUAUUUUACCUACGCUUAGGAUGUUGAAGUCAUCGUAUCGCGC